rnacentral:rRNA from 1 species
UGCUGGAGGUAUCAGAAGUGCGAAUGCUGACAUAAGUAACGAUAAAGCGGGUGAAAAGCCCGCUCGCCGGAAGACCAAGGGUUCCUGUCCAACGUUAAUCGGGGCAGGGUGAGUCGACCCCUAAGGCGAGGCCGAAAGGCGUAGUCGAUGGGAAACGGGUUAAUAUUCCCGUACUUGGUGUUACUGCGAAGGGGGGACGGAGAAGGCUAUGUUGGCCGGGCGACGGUUGUCCCGGUUUAAGCGUGUAGGUGUGUGUUCCAGGUAAAUCCGGUUCACUUUAACACUGAGGCGUGACGACGAGGCACUACGGUGCUGAAGCAACAAAUGCCCUGCUUCCAGGAAAAGCCUCUAAGCAUCAGGUAACAUCAAAUCGUACCCCAAACCGACACAGGUGGUCAGGUAGAGAAUACCAAGGCGCUUGAGAGAACUCGGGUGAAGGAACUAGGCAAAAUGGUGCCGUAACUUCGGGAGAAGGCACGCUGACAUGUAGGUGAAGUGAUUUACUCAUGGAGCUGAAGUCAGUCGAAGAUACCAGCUGGCUGCAACUGUUUAUUAAAAACACAGCACUGUGCAAACACGAAAGUGGACGUAUACGGUGUGACGCCUGCCCGGUGCCGGAAGGUUAAUUGAUGGGGUCAGCGCAAGCGAAGCUCCUGAUCGAAGCCCCGGUAAACGGCGGCCGUAACUAUAACGGUCCUAAGGUAGCGAAAUUCCUUGUCGGGUAAGUUCCGACCUGCACGAAUGGCGUAAUGAUGGCCAGGCUGUCUCCACCCGAGACUCAGUGAAAUUGAACUCGCUGUGAAGAUGCAGUGUACCCGCGGCAAGACGGAAAGACCCCGUGAACCUUUACUAUAGCUUGACACUGAACAUUGAGCCUUGAUGUGUAGGAUAGGUGGGAGGCUUUGAAGUGUGGACGCCAGUCUGCAUGGAGCCGACCUUGAAAUACCACCCUUUAAUGUUUGAUGUUCUAACGUGGACCCGUUAUCCGGGUUGCGGACAGUGUCUGGUGGGUAGUUUGACUGGGGCGGUCUCCUCCUAAAGAGUAACGGAGGAGCACGAAGGUUGGCUAAUCCUGGUCGGACAUCAGGAGGUUAGUGCAAUGGCAUAAGCCAGCUUGACUGCGAGCGUGACGGCGCGAGCAGGUGCGAAAGCAGGUCAUAGUGAUCCGGUGGUUCUGAAUGGAAGGGCCAUCGCUCAACGGAUAAAAGGUACUCCGGGGAUAACAGGCUGAUACCGCCCAAGAGUUCAUAUCGACGGCGGUGUUUGGCACCUCGAUGUCGGCUCAUCACAUCCUGGGGCUGAAGUAGGUCCCAAGGGUAUGGCUGUUCGCCAUUUAAAGUGGUACGCGAGCUGGGUUUAGAACGUCGUGAGACAGUUCGGUCCCUAUCUGCCGUGGGCGCUGGAGAACUGAGGGGGGCUGCUCCUAGUACGAGAGGACCGGAGUGGACGCAUCACUGGUGUUCGGGUUGUCAUGCCAAUGGCACUGCCCGGUAGCUAAAUGCGGAAGAGAUAAGUGCUGAAAGCAUCUAAGCACGAAACUUGCCCCGAGAUGAGUUCUCCCUGAGACUUAGAGUCUCCUGAAGGAACGUUGAAGACGACGACGUUGAUAG